rnacentral:tRNA from 1 species
UGUUCUAUUGGUUUAUGAUGGCAAAACUGGCAGUUUGUGUCUGGUGGAAAUUCUAUUGAUCCUGCAUCAAUAUAGGGCUGCCA